UUUUUUUCAUCAUUCUU
rnacentral:sRNA from 1 species